CAGCCGCCGCGGUAAUACGAAGGGUGCAAGCGUUACUCGGAAUUACUGGGCGUAAAGCGCACGCAGGCGGUCUGUCAAGUCAGAUGUGAAAUCCCCGGGCUUAACCUGGGAACUGCAUUUGAAACUGGCAGGCUAGAGUCUUGUAGAGGGGGGUAGAAUUCCAGGUGUAGCGGUGAAAUGCGUAGAGAUCUGGAGGAAUACCGGUGGCGAAGGCGGCCCCCUGGACAAAGACUGACGCUCAGGUGCGAAAGCGUGGGGAGCAAACAGGAUUAGAUACCCGCGUAGUCCCUGUCUCUUAUAC
rnacentral:rRNA from 1 species